GUUGAGUUGAGUUGAGUUGAGAUAGGUGAUAACUUCAAUUUAUUUUUGGAAUGAGUGUCAUAGUGGCAACCCCUUUCUAAAAAAGAAACUCCAAUAUUUUCUUUUGUUGGCCAUAAACAAGAGCAAUUUAUUAGCAAUUUCUUCUUGUUUAGAGAAGUUCUAUUAUCAGGGAGCUUGGUCCUUGAAAAUGUGCCUUAAGUGUGGGAGAUUAAGGCAAUAUUUUGUUUGUUGGAAUCCUACUGGUGUCUUAUGAGAUUGGUUCAUUUGGGAAGGGACGAAAAGAUUUGAUAAGCAUUGAAUAAAAAAAGGGUGAACUUUGAUGCAAUGGUAUUGCAAGUUCAAACCAUGGUAGUGCCUUCUUGCAAUGCCAAGAGAAGCUUGCAUAAUCUGAUUCUCUCUAAACUACUGUGCAGAAAGCCGUAUUGGGACAAAUAAAGGUUGGAAGAGGGUUGAUUUUGCAUUAAAUUGGAGAGCUUUUGUAGGGAAGCUAUUUGAAAAGCUAAUGUGUUGUAAAAUUAUCCUCUUUUUUCUUGGGAGGUGGUGUCAGAAAUAUUUUUAACAGUGUUAACCUCUUAGUAAUAUUAAUCAAUCUGAUGAAAAAAGGGGGGCAUACUUGUAAAUAAUUGUUUUUGUUGCAAGAUGUAGUAAAAAUUGAUGAAUCAAUAGCUUAUAUACUGGGAGUGAUUGAGGUUCAUUUUUGUUUUUGAUGUUUUAUGCGGGAAUCUGUGGACGGAGGUUAAUAAAUAGAGAGAUUCCCUUUGCAGAGCUAGGCUAGAGAAGGUGAGUAGUACUGUUAAUUGAUCAUUUUGCAAAUAGUGUUGAAGGGGUGAAAUUUGGAAGCUUUUAGGAGUUUGGAAACCCUAUGGCCAGGAUUAAAGAGAUCUGACUGUGCAUUAUACUUGUGGACAUUUGGUAAUUGCUUGUACGUCAUUAUGCUUUUGGAAAAUUUUCCAAUAUUUUGGCAGCUCUAUCAUUUUCUAUACCAUUGCACCACCUUUGGUACACGUAUAAAAUAAUUUUUUUUUAAAUGAAAAAGGAAUGAAGCUGUAGUUGCUGGACUUU
rnacentral:misc_RNA from 1 species